CCUACGGGUUGCAGCAGUGGGGAAUAUUGGACAAUGGGCGAAAGCCUGAUCCAGCCAUGCCGCGUGUGUGAAGAAGGCCUUCGGGUUGUAAAGCACUUUCAGUGGGGAAGAAAGCCUUGGGGCUAAUACCCUCGAGGAAGGACAUCACCCACAGAAGAAGCACCGGCUAACUCCGUGCCAGCAGCCGUGGUAAUACGGAGGGUGCGAGCGUUAAUCGGAAUUACUGGGCGUAAAGCGCGCGUAGGCGGUCUGAUAAGCCGGUUGUGAAAGCCCCGGGCUCAACCUGGGAACGGCAUCCGGAACUGUCAGGCUAGAGUGCAGGAGAGGAAGGUAGAAUUCCCGGUGUAGCGGUGAAAUGCGUAGAGAUCGGGAGGAAUACCAGUGGCGAAGGCGGCCUUCUGGACUGACACUGACGCUGAGGUGCGAAAGCGUGGGUAGCAAACAGGAUUAGAUACCCCUGUAGUC
rnacentral:rRNA from 1 species